CUUUAUUGGCUUGGCACAACUUAGCAGCAAGCCCAGAAUGAAAAACAGGUAGAGAGAAAAUUUAGCAGAGAGAACAGAGAGAGCAGGAAAGACACGGUUUUGAAAUCAAACCGUAGAGUUUUCUUUGUUUGUUCAGUUUGUUCAAAGGUUGAGGCAAAAUAUGCACUCUUUAUUGCUUUAUUGGCUUGUGCAUUUCUCAGCAGCAAGCCAAAGAGUGAAAAACAGGUAGAGAGAAAAUUUAGCAGAGAGAACAGAGAGAGCAGGAAAGACACGGUUUUGAAAUCAAACCGUAGAGUUUUCUUUGUUUGUUCAGUUUGUUCAAAGGUUGAGGCAAAAUAUGCACUCUUUAUUGCUUUAUUGGCUUGUGCAUUUCUCAGCAGCAAGCCAAAGAGUGAAAAACAGGUAGAGAGAAAAUUUAGCAGAGAGAACAGACAGAGCAGGAGAGACACGGUUUUGAAAUCAAACCGCAAUAAGAUUCUUGGUUUGGCAAAAUUUCUCACAAACCACAGGGUGAAAUACAGAUGGAAAGAAGGCAGAGACAACAGGUGGAGCAGGACAGAGGAUAGAGGGGAUGGGGGGUUGGGAUGUGACAGAGAAGACUGGAGAUCUGGUCCUUGUUCUUCUGCACACUGUGAACAAAAAAGAAGAAAAAAAUAAUAAUUUUAUUAAAAUUAUAUCACAUGGUAAUUGUAUGAACUAAUUGUGACUACUGAAAAAGGACAAAACAAAUAUUGAAGCUAAACUGUUGUUGGCUGCCAUGUGCAAAAAGUUGCAUAAUUGGGCACUUUUUAAAAGAAUAUUUAUUUAAAUUCAGCAAUAAUAUUUUUAAUACAAAUAUGAUUGAGUGAAUCAUUA
ensembl:lncRNA